UACGAAGGGGGCUAGCGUUGCUCGGAAUGACUGGGCGUAAAGGGCGCGUAGGCGGAUGGCACAGUCAGAUGUGAAAUUCCCGGGCUUAACCUGGGGGCUGCAUUUGAUACGUGUUGUCUAGAGUGAGGAAGAGGGUUGUGGAAUUCCCAGUGUAGAGGUGAAAUUCGUAGAUAUUGGGAAGAACACCGGUGGCGAAGGCGGCGACCUGGUCCUUGACUGACGCUGAGGCGCGAAAGCGUGGGGAGCAAACAGG
rnacentral:rRNA from 1 species